rnacentral:misc_RNA from 1 species
UUUCCGUAGGUGAACCUGCGGAAGGAUCAUUAACAAGUCCUGCUGUGCGUGCGGAGCAGUCUGCAUGCGCACAUCCGUUCCAUGUGCCCCGCACAUGACAUUUCUGCGAAUCGUCUGAUUGGCGCUCUUCAAACCAUACAAACUUUUAACAAUGGAUCUCUAGGCUCUU